GGGUCGUUAGCUCAGUUGGUAGAGCAGUUGACUUUUAAUCAAUUGGUCGCAGGUUCGAAUCCCGCACGACCCC
rnacentral:tRNA from 1 species